rnacentral:lncRNA from 1 species
AUGUUUUCUUUUUUCCAACUUCUAGCUCCAUACAAAUUUCCAGAAUUUCCUAAAACAAAAGCACCUCCUACCUACCCAAUAUCCACUGAAACUUUAGCUUCACAUGAAAUAGAGUCAGUUUCUUCAGAAUCCCAAACGCCUGUUCCAAAAGGCACAUGGACAAAGCAAGUUUCCAGCAAAACACAACCUGCUCUUUCAAGGCCCAGAACAUCUGACGAGACUGACAUAUCAGACUCCAAAAGAGGUAUAUAACUGUCAUCCUAUAAUUAUAAAUUUCAACUACUUAACUUAGAGUAACUUCACUUUUUUUGGUAGCCCCAGCUAAAGCAGAGCUGUAGAAUCAACAGGACCCACAUAAAUGUUGACCUAACAUUGAGCAGUGGAUUCAGUGAUUUGCUUGACGUGGGACUAGCACAAGAAUGUACUCUACUAUCUACAUUCUGGAAACCUUGGGGAUCCUGAUCUGGCAACCUUAUUUAUAUCCCUUCCUGGGAGCCAUCUUUUCUUCUUCUGCUUUGUUUUAUCCCCUUACUAUUUAUAUAUUCUGAGGUGUAAGAUUUAUCUCAGCUUAAGGAGUAAUAACUACUUUCCCCUUGGAGAUAUAUUUUCCCCUAUCAUCUAUUCCCUUUGUUCCUUUUUUGAACUCUAUUUGAUACUGGGAAUUUAUUGGGGCAAGUCAUGCCUAUGUUUGCCAACUACAUAAGUUACACCAGGUAGCUUGAAAAUUCAGCAAUAGCAUGAGCAACAACUGCAGCACUACUAAAUGUAAACCAGUGGAAUCAAGUGUUGUAAUUGUUUUUACUACCAAGGUAACUUGCAAAUUUAUAUCUUUUCUAAUCACAUGUUUUUCAACUCUUUUUAAACAACCUUUAAAUGCUAAGAGUAGCAGUGAAUUGAAGAAACGUAAUCCAAAGAAUUAGACCAGUGGUUCUCAAUGUGUGGGUCCCCAGAUGUUUUGGCCUUCAACUUCCAGAAAUGCCAACAGCUGGUAAACUGGAUGGGAUUUCUUGAAGUUUUAGGCCAAAACACCUAGGGAUCCACACGUUGAGAAUCACUGAACUACACUGAUGACCACCCAGAAUUUGUUCAAAUUCGCAAAUGCUGUAAAAUCCUUAAAGUAUGUGAUUUAAUCGAAUUACUGUACUUCAUCUAUAACACCCACUGUACUUGGAAUCAAGGAAGCUCUUCAGAUUUUGUCCUGCAAAAAAAAGAAAAAGAAGAAGCUUAUCUCAUGCACAACCUUUAUUUCAGGGUAGCUCUAUCUGUUUCUUAUGCUUGUCAUUGUCAAC